AGCUUUCUGAAUCUGUGCUGAGAUUUCGUCAGACACCAACCCAUUGUGUCUGAUUAGACUUCCGAAAUAAGUGAGGUU
rnacentral:pre_miRNA from 1 species